rnacentral:rRNA from 1 species
GAUGAACGCUGGCGGCGUGCCUAAUACAUGCAAGUCGAGCGAACAGAUGAGGAGUUUGCUCCUUUGACGUUAUCCGCGGACGUGAGAGUAACAUGUGUAACAUCUACCUAAACGAGUGGUAUAACUUCGGGAAACUGGCUCUAACCCCGUAUAAUAUGAUGAACCAUAUGGUUUAAUAGAGAAAUACGGUUUUAUUGUUACUUAUUGAUGGUUCCGCGCCGUAUUAGCUAGUUGGUAAGGUAACGGCUUACCAAGGCAACGAUGCGUAGCCGACCUGAGAGGGUGAUCGGCCACACUGGAACUGAGACACGGUCCAGACUCCUACGGGAGGCAGCAGUAGGGAAUCUUCCGCAAUGGGCGAAAGCCUGACGGAGCAACGCCGCGUGAGUGAUGAAGGUCUUCGGAUCGUAAAACUCUGUUAUUAGGGAAGAACAAAUGUGUAAGUAACUAUGCACGUCUUGACGGUACCUAAUCAGAAAGCCACGGCUAACUACGUG